rnacentral:rRNA from 1 species
AUUGAACGCUGGCGGCAUGCUUUACACAUGCAAGUCGAACGGUAACAGGCCGCAAGGUGCUGACGAGUGGCGAACGGGUGAGUAAUGCAUCGGAACGUGCCCAGUCGUGGGGGAUAACUACUCGAAAGAGUAGCUAAUACCGCAUACGAUCUAUGGAUGAAAGCGGGGGACCGUAAGGCCUCGCGCGAUUGGAGCGGCCGAUGUCAGAUUAGGUAGUUGGUGGGGUAAAGGCUCACCAAGCCAACGAUCUGUAGCUGGUCUGAGAGGACAACCAGCCACACUGGGACUGAGACACGGCCCAGACUCCUACGGGAGGCAGCAGUGGGGAAUUUUGGACAAUGGGCGCAAGCCUGAUCCAGCAAUGCCGCGUGCAGGAAGAAGGCCCUCGGGUUGUAAACUGCUUUUGUACGGAACGAAACGGCUCUGGUUAAUACCCGGGGCUAAUGACGGUACCGUAAGAAUAAGCACCGGCUAACUACGUG